rnacentral:lncRNA from 1 species
GAGCGGCCCCUGCUGACCACACGGGCAGAGUACACGGGAAGCGCGGUGUUGGGUGUGGACAGUGAUCUGAGCCUGUCCACGGCUUUGGUUGGAAAGAGUAAACAGCAAAGAAAUGUGACACAUUUAUGGCAAACCCACAAAUCUGGGAGAAUUGCAUCUCUCAUCCUGGGGCAACGCAUCUAUAAACACAGAGACAGUCAUCUGAGGCUCUUUUUACGAGGCUGAUGGAGUGGAGGGAACCCUUCUUCUUGGCCACCUCUGGCUGUCCCUGGGAUUGAAUUCUGCUGGCAUCCAUGCAAGCUGGAAUACAGGAAGGAAAGGGGAAAGCCGUGGUCUCUUCACUCCGUUGGUGACGAGGUAU